UACGUAGGGUGCAAGCGUUAAUCGGAAUUACUGGGCGUAAAGCGUGCGCAGGCGGUGAUGUAAGACAGAUGUGAAGUCCCCGGGCUCAACCUGGGAACUGCAUUUGUGACUGCAUCGCUGGAGUGCGGCAGAGGGGGAUGGAAUUCCGCGUGUAGCAGUGAAAUGCGUAGAUAUGCGGAGGAACACCGAUGGCGAAGGCAAUCCCCUGGGCCUGCACUGACGCUCAUGCACGAAAGCGUGGGGAGCAAACAGG
rnacentral:rRNA from 1 species